GUAUUUGGAGAAUUGAAACCUUGCAUGCCAGGAGACCUUGAUCCUAUAACCUCAGAAGCAGCUCUGGAUCCAGUCAAAUUGAGGUCAAAUUCUGAUCAACUUCUCCAGAGUCAGUAGAAGAAAAAAGCAACUUGGUGUCUGAGUCAUAUGUUUGGACACUAAAGAUGACAUUCAAGGGGAUACUUACAUUCUAGGCAUAGGAAAUAUAUAGUAGAUAGGGGUUGUUGCUUAAGUCAGUGCUUCUCAAGCUUUUAGAUGCACACCAACCCCAGGGGGUGAAGAUGGGGACAUCUGAGUGUCUGCAUUUUUUUGGUACUAGGAUUUGAACCCAGGAGUGCUUAACCACUGAGCAAUAUCCCCAGCCCUUUUUAGUUUUUAUUCUGAGACAGGGUCUUGCUAAAUUGCUUAGGGCCUCACUAAAUUGCUGAGGCCAGUCUCAAACUUGCAACUCUACUGCCUCAGCCUCCCAAGUAGCUGGGAUUACAUGCCUUUAUCACCAUGCCCAGCAGGUGUCUGUGUUUCUAACUUGCUCCAUGCUGAUGUCUAUGGUUCACAGGUCAUAUGUUAAGUAGCAAGACCUUAGAAGAUAGGAUGCAGAUGACCCUCAACUGAUGCUAAAAGAAAUCUGAAAUAAAUUGGGGCUCAGUUGCAGAACACUUGCCUAGCAGGCACAAGGCCCUGGGUUUGAGACCCAGCACAGACGGAAGGAAAAGAAGAGAAGGAAAGGACCCAUCCAAAAAUGUGAACAUGUUCAACUUAUAACGCUACACUUGGGCUCCUUCCCUAAAGCCCUUUCUGCUAGCUGCCCAAGGAAUCACCUUUGUUGUCAUGUAUCAUUUCCUUCCCUUCUGGAAUAAUUCAUCUUCUUAGAAUAUAAGAAGGGUACACCAACCUUUGGCAGUUCAUGAAAUUUAAGAUCUGACCUGCCAGGGAUGGAUGGGAGGCAGGACAAAUCAGGAGAUUUCAGUAGCACAAGCUUUGGGACCUCCUCAGGAUGUACCACAACACACCAGAAUUCUCUGUGUCUCUACAAGUUUCAAGUUUUGGUCAGGUGUUUUAUCUUCAAGCUCUAACAUAAAUCAAUUAAAUUUGUGUCUGUCAUACCUUUUUUACCCCUUGUAUGGCAUUCCUUGAUGUUAAUUUUUUUUUGAGGGUGGGGGACUGGGGAUUGAACCAGGUGCACUUUACCACUUAGCUAUAUCCUCACCCAUUUUUAUUUUUUGAGACAGGGUCUCCCUAAAUUGCCCAGGCUGGCCUCCAACUUGCAAUCCUCUUGCUUUAGCCUCGCAAGUCUCUGGAAUUACAGGUGUGCACCAGUGUGUUCAGCUCUUAAUAUUAAUUUUAACUUGCUUUUAUAUAUGUAUAAGUGUGUGUAUGUGUGUGUGUGUGUGUAUGUGUGCAUGUGUGUAUGUAUGCGCACACCUAGGGGAAAAGAAGAUGGAAGUGAAAUGACGUAAUGUGACUUCCCCAAAAUAGAUUAUUAAAAUGUCCCUGGUAUAUCACUCUUAGGACAUUUAAAAUACUCUACAUUAUAUGUGUUGGCCAACAUGUGUUUGGGAUUUAUAACUAAAAUGUUCUCUGUGAGCAGGAGUGAUCUUUAUAUCUUCACAAAAUAAGCUUGGCUUUUAUUUGAUUUAAAAAAAAAUACUAAUUGCUGUAUUUCAAAGGGCUGUUUUUAGACAGAGUUUCUCCCUAAUCAUAGGGAUAUGUGUCUGGAAAUAUCCUCAAUAGAAGAAUUCAGGAUUGGGGCAAUAAAAUGAUGAGUAAGAAUCUGGGUUUCUUUCUUUUACUUACUAAAUGUUAGUCAAUUAAUUUUUCUAAAGCUCAAUCAUGUCUUUGGCAUCAGAGCAAGUGUCAAGUUUCUUAUAAAUUUGUUUUGAUGGUUAAAUAAAAUUCACAUAAAAUGCUUUUGAACCGCUUUGAAAAGUUAACUGUUUGUGUUAUAAUUAUUCUUAUGGAACUUGAGACUUCCUGAGAACAAUAGUGGGGAGUUUGAAGGCAAGAAAUAAAUAUGAAAGCAC
rnacentral:lncRNA from 1 species